AAACUCCUGUGAUGUUGGUGGGACAUUUUUUGGUUUUAAUCUAUGGCGAGUAAUAUGGGAAUCCGACUCCAGACUUGAAGAUGCCAUGCCUCCGUGAGUGGAAGGUUGAAUCAAGCGAUAGGAUACCCACCUGUGAGAGCAGGUUCAAAACCGAUUGUCCCACGGCAGAACGGGGUACAU
rnacentral:other from 2 species